GAUGAACGCUGGCGGCGUGCCUAAUACAUGCAAGUCGAGCGAACAGAUGCUGAUGUUGCUCCUAGGACGAUAGCGCCGCAAGGGUGAGUGACACGUGUAAAGCAUCUCUCUAAUAGUCGGGGAAAUUCGGUGGACCGGAGCUAAUAUAGGAGAAUAUAGUGAACCUCGUAGUACAAAAGUUAAAGAGUGUUUUGCGGUAACAUAUAGAUAUAUCUGCGCCGCAUUAGCUAGUUGGUAAGGUAAAGGCUUACCAAGGCAACGAUGCGUAGCCGACCUGAGAGGGUGAUCGGCCACACUGGAACUGAGACACGGCCCAGACUCCUACGGGAGGCAGCAGUAGGGAAUCUUCCGCAAUGGGCGAAAGCCUGACGGAGCAACGCCGCGUGAGUGAAGAAGGACUUCGGUUCGUAAAGCUCUGUUAUUAGGGAAGAAUAAAUGUGUAAGAACCAAAGAUGUACGUGACGGUACCUAAUCAGAAAGCCACGGCUAACUACGUG
rnacentral:rRNA from 1 species